AAAGUGAUGAGCCCGCCCUGUCACCUGAGUGGUAGACUCCGUGCUGGACGCUUGUGAUUGGAUAACGAGGCGCAGACUAGAAAAGCGGAAGGAAGUGGCGAUUCUUUUGGACCGGUGGAGGCUGCGAGGUGGUUGGUAUGAUUUCGGCGGUGUAGCAGCAGACCGGUGGACUCCACGACGCCAAGAAGUCCGAAGCAUCUGGUUUCUGUUUUAUUGUCACAGGACGUCGGAGCCCAUGACCAAAGACUAGCCUGUGAGGAGGUUGCAGGAACGCUGCCAUCCAAGUGGAAAAGGAAGCAGAAGAGAGGCCAGAAGAAGAGGUUUAACCAAGUUGCUGCACUCCUGAUGAUGGGGCCAUUGUUGAAUCCAGUGAGCACGUAAUGUUACAUGCAUUUGUAAAUGUGUUUUGCUAAUAAAAGGCUAAAG